UACGUAGGGUGCGAGCGUUGUCCGGAAUUACUGGGCGUAAAGCGCACGUAGGCGGCUUCUUAAGUCAGGGGUGAAAUCCUGGAGCUCAACUCCAGAACUGCCUUUGAUACUGAGAAGCUUGAGUCCGGGAGAGGUGAGUGGAACUGCGAGUGUAGAGGUGAAAUUCGUAGAUAUUCGCAAGAACACCAGUGGCGAAGGCGGCUCACUGGCCCGGUACUGACGCUGAGGCGCGAAAGCGUGGGGAGCAAACAGG
rnacentral:rRNA from 1 species